UACGUAGGGGGCAAGCGUUGUCCGGAUUUAUUGGGCGUAAAGCGCGUGUAGGUGGCCAAGUAGGUCCGCUGUGAAAACUCGAGGCUCAACCUCGAGCUGUCGGUGGAAACUGUCUGGCUAGAGUCCGGAAGAGGAGAGUGGAAUUCCUGGUGUAGCGGUGAAAUGCGCAGAUAUCAGGAAGAACACCCGUGGCGAAAGCGGCUCUCUGGGACGGUACUGACGCUGAGGAGCGAAAGCGUGGGGAGCGAACAGG
rnacentral:rRNA from 1 species